GAUUCCCCUAGUAACGGCGAGCGAAAAGGGAACUGUCCAGCGCCAAGUCUUGGCACCCUGGUGCCGAGAGAUGCGGCGUUAAUGCAUUGGUGCAUCGUGCACUGACUGGCGUUUCAAGUUCGCUUGACAGCGACAUCCAGAGCGGGUGCUAGGCCCAUAGAGACGCCGGUCUGGUGCACGCCAGCCAACGCAUUCUAGAGUCAGGUUGCUUGAGAGUGCAGCUUAAAGUGGGUGGUAAACUCCAUCGAAGACUAAAUACUACAGCGAGACCGAUAGCAAACAAGUACCGUGAGGGAAAGUUGCAAAGCACUUUGAAGAGAGAGUUCAAUAGGACGUGAAACCACUGGUGGGCAAACAGAUGGAACCACGAAUGUGCGCUCCGGUCGAUUCAAUCGUCGCCGGGAGUGAGCCUGGCUGCUGGCGGGUCUCCUCGGAGGCUACGGCAGUUGGGCUGGAGACUCCUGGUGGCGGUGCAUUUCGUGCCGGAGAUGCAAAACCACGUUCGACUAGUGUUGGAACGGCCGUAGGACGGAGCCUGGAGAAGGUGGCCGGCACGUGCUUGCACGUGUUGGUGUUACAGAUCCGGGCUGGAACCGUUGCCAAACUGACUGGUCGAUGAAAGUUCUCCCUCGGGAGUAAAACUGUCACUGCCUGUGGCGGUUACCCGGUGUGUGCCGGUGUGCUUGCUGUGCUUCGUUGUGCAACAAAGCACUGGCCUUACGCUUGGUAGUCGUUGCUUGCGUGUGGCGGUGGAACUGUGGUGCGAGUAGGUCGGUGUCCAUCUGACCCGUCUUGAAACACGGACCAAGGAGCCUAUCAUAUACGCGAGUCGCUCGGUCUUGAYUAGGCCCGGGAGGCGGAAUGAAAGUAAGUUGCUAUGAGACUUCGGUCGCAAUAGCGGUACGCCUGCUUCGUUUAUUGGCGAUUAGGCGUAACUGGAGCGUAUACGAUGGUACCCGAAAGAUGGUGAACUAUGCCUGGGCAAGACGAAGCCAGAGGAAACUCUGGUGGAGGUCUGUAGCGAUUCUGACGUGCAAAUCGAUCGUCAGACCUGGGUAUAGGGGCGAAAGACUAAUCGAACCAUCUAGUAGCUGGUUCCCUCCGAAGUUUCCCUCAGGAUAGCAGGCGUUCAGAUGUUCAGUGUCAUCCGGUAAAGCUAAUGAUUAGAGGUCUUGGGGUUGAAACGACCUCAACCUAUUCUCAAACUUUAAAUGGGUGAGAUGGUUGACUUUCUUGAGUGAAGCCAACCAAUUGGAUGUGAGUGCCUAGUGGGCCAUUUUUGGUAAGCAGAACUGGCGCUGUGGGAUGAACCAAACGCCGAGAUAAGGAAUCAAAUGCACACGCUCAUGAGACCCCAUGAAAGGUGUUGGUUGCUAUAGACAGCAGGACGGUGGCCAUGGAAGUCGGAUCC
rnacentral:rRNA from 1 species